AACGUAGGAGACAAACGUUAUCCGGAGUUACUGGGCGUAAAGGGCGUGUAGGUGGUUUUAUAAGUCAGUGGUGAAAUCUCGCAGCUUAACUGCGAAACUGCCAUUGAUACUGUAGGACUUGAGUAUAGUUGCUGUGGGCGGAAUAUGACAUGUAGUGGUGAAAUACUUAGAGAUGUCAUAGAACACCGAUUGCGAAGGCAGCUCACAAAACUAUAACUGACACUGAGGCUCGAAAGUGCGGGGAUCAAACAGG
rnacentral:rRNA from 1 species